rnacentral:misc_RNA from 1 species
GAUGAAGAACGUAGCGAAAUGCGAUAAGUAAUGUGAAUUGCAGAAUUCAGUGAAUCAUCGAAUCUUUGAACGCACAUUGCGCCCCUUGGUAUUCCAUGGGGCAUGCCUGUUCGAGCGUCAUUUGUACCUUCAAGCUUUGCUUGGUGUUGGGUGUUUGUCUCGCCUUUGCGUGUAGACUCGCCUUAAAAUAAUUGGCAGCCGGCGUAUUGAUUUCGGAGCGCAGUACAUCUCGCGCUUUGCACUCAUAACGACAGCGUCCAAAAGUACAUUUUACACUCUUGACCUCGGAUCAGGUAGGGAUACCCGCUGAACUUAAGCAUAUCAAUAAGCGGAGGA